GUGUCAGCCGCCGCGGUAAGACGUACCACCCAAACGUUAUUCGGAAUCACUGGGCUUAAAGAGUCCGUAGGCGGCUCGGAAAGUUGGAUGUGAAAUACCUCGGCUCAACCGAGGAACAGCAUUCAAAACUGCCGAGCUUGAGAGAGACAGAGGUAAGCGGAACUGAUGGUGGAGCGGUGAAAUGCGUUGAUAUCAUCAGGAACACCGGUGGCGAAAGCGGCUUACUGGGUCUUUUCUGACGCUGAGGGACGAAAGCUAGGGGAGCGAACGGGAUUAGAUACCCUCGUAGUCC
rnacentral:rRNA from 1 species